GGGAGGGGAUUCUGCCCCUCUGCCCCUCAGGUGAGACCCCACCUGCAGAGCUGCCCCAGCCCUGGGACCAGCACAGCCAGGACCUGGAACUGCUGCAGAGAGCCCAGAGGAGGCACCAGGAUGAGCAGAGGAUGGAGCAGCUCUGCUGGGAGCAAAGGCUGGCACAGCUGGGAUUGUUCACCUGCACAGUAGAAGCUUUGGGCUGAGCUCAGUGUGGCCUUGCAGGGCCUGAAGGAGCUGCAGGAAAGAUGGAGAGAGACAAUUGCCAAGGGCUGGAGGGACAGGACACAGGGAAUGGCUCCCACUGAGCCCAGACAGCUUGGCUCCUGGAACAGAUAAAUGGGUCUGCACAAGGCUGAACUUCUGCACUAUGAGGUAAAAUAACAGGUUCAAGGUGGGAUAUGGGUUAAGUGGUUGGGCAAGGGUGGACCUUCAUAAUACCUUAGCCCAUGGGGAAAGGAAGAGACCAGGAAUUUAGGACAAAAGGAGGCUGGGCCCUCCUAAACCUUGACAGAGAAAUCCCUGCGGAUGUGUGCCCCAGUAGCCUCUUUCCCUUUAUUUGAAUGAAGUUUUACAACUCCUCAGUCUCCUUUUGGUCAUAAACCUCUGAUGUUCUGAGUAUUUUCUGAACAGCAUUGCCAGAGGGCAGGGCUACAUGAGCUAUUGGGAAGGAAUUGUCCCCUGGGAAGGUUGGCAGGCCCUGGCACAAGGUGCCCAGAGCAGCUGUGGCUGUCCCUGGAUCCCUAGCAGUGUCCAGGGCCAGAUUGGACACUGGGGCCUGGAUCAGCCUGGGGUAGUGUGAGGUGUCCCUAUCCAGGACAGGAGAUUGGAAUGAGAUGAGAUUUAAGGUCCCUUCCAACCCAAACCAUUCCAUGAUUAUGUGAUAAUUCAUCUAAUUGAAAUUACUGGAAUCAUUGUAAUGGGAACUUCCACACUGGAUUUUCAACACACACAGUAAACACUUGAUUUAUAAGGUGCAGGUCCCUUUCAUCAACCUUAUAAUGAAACUUUAAGUGUUUAUCCUGUAGACGGGAAGUCUCAUCUCAGUGAAACAUGAGUAAUUUUAAGGAGGUCUCCAAACUGUCUCCAAAAUUCCUUCUCCAGCAACGCAGGUAUGAGCAGUCCCACUUCUACUCAAAAAUCUUUAGGCAUGUGUUUCAACCUACUGGAAGUGUUGUGGGUUUUCUGCGCUUCCUCUGAAUCUAAAAUAUGUUUGUUUUGACGCAUGAAGUGCUCAUAUGUAAAACCAAUCCAUGCGGUUAACACAUUGAGUGAUCUUCUAGAUUCUAAGAGUGAUAUUAUCAUCUGAUCUGUCAUAAUAUCUUGGUAUUAAAUACAUUGACUUCAUUCUUUUAAAUAUUUUCUAUUGGAAACAGGUAAGAGACUUAACCUUUCCUAUGGUCUUACACUUAGGAAGUUAUAUUUUAACAAUGGAAUUUCGUGCCGUAGCAAUCAAAACCUUUUUCAUAUGCAAAUAAAUAUGAACUUUUUUCUAACUUGCAGGAGGUAAAGAUAUCUUAUUUUUCAUUUUAAUAUUUUAAAUAUUCCUCUUGUCCUGAUAUUAAAUGGACCUAAGCACAAAACUACAUUUAUUAAUUUAGGUUAAUUAGAUCCUAGUGCUUUUUACUUCAUGCCAGCUUGUCGUGCCAAAUUCUGAUGAUGUCUUUACUGUGAUUCAUGAGCCCUUUCAUCCUAUUUCCCCCCCCCCCCCCAUCUUGUUGAAUGAGUGGCUGGGUGGGUGUUUGGCAGCUGGUCAAGGUCAACAAACUCAGUUUGAAUUGUUACCAAUGGACUGUUGGUGAUGUUUGUUGCCAUAAACACAAACUGCCUCCGGUUCCGGGCUGCCUGGAAACACAACAUUUUUGGGAUUUCUGGAACACUAGAAGUUGUUUGGUCAUUUUAUUAAUGACAGACCACAAAUCCUUUUAACCCAGCAAGUGUUGGGGUCCUUCAAGGAGUAUUUCAGGACAGUUUUAUCCUUAGGGUAGAUAAGAUACAUCAUAAAUGUCUUCCUUAAAUUCACUGCAUAAAAAGUAUUUUCCCUAAUCUCACCUUUCUGCACAGGACAGAUCUUUUGCUGAUCUUUGGCUUUGUAACUAGAUCCCAGUUCAGCCCUUGAGGGCUCUGAGGUUUUAGCAGGACUUCAGUAAAUUAUUUCACAUGAACGGUUAAAUUCUAAUUCAACAUCUGGAUAACCUCACAUAAAUAGAACAUGAACUCUUAAAUGGUUUACAGUAGACAAGAAGAACUGAGACGAUUUUUUCCCCUAAAAUAUCAUAUUUAUCAAGUAAGCCUAUUCAUCUGUUAGGGGUUUUGCUUAUUCUAUUUAGAGGCAGUAACAUUCAUCAGUUCAUGUUAAUUAGAUCAGAUAUGUGUGGUGAUAAGUGGAGAUUUGAGUAUAAUCAAAAUGAAUUAACAUUUUGCAGAGACAAAAGAGAAAACACAUGCCGCAAGUAAUGAACAAAAAGAGCCUGUAAAUAAAUUAUAAACAAAAAGGAAAAUAUCUUAUUUUGAUUGUUUGCUCAAAGCAGUUUCUUGUACUUGUUUUUGAAAAUUGUGUGAUAAAGACUAUAUGAUAUCGAGGUUGCUCUCAGAGAAAGGAGGAUGAGUUAGGACACCUCUAAGUUUUGGAAUAUUACAACGUCUUUUCUUUUGCAUCUCUUCCAUGCAGUUGGGUACAUUCUGGAAUCUAUCUUAUUUCUGAUGUUUAAGCCCAGGAGAUUCCCAUUCCCUGCACUGGGGAUGCCUGGGAAUGCCCUUCACAGCUGGAACACCUGGUCCCUGCAGGGCUGGACCAGAUCCCACAGAUCUGCCUUGUUUCUCCCGAAGCGGUCCCAUUCACGAUGCUGAGCUUGCAUGAAGCCUGGCUCGCAGGCUCAGCUCUGCACUGGUAACAUUCUGGGAUGUUUGCACCUUUCACUUCUCCAGAGGAAAAUCCUCCGUUCAUUUUGGGAUCAGAGAAAACAAUGCCCAGGGAACUCCCUGUCUCAGCAGGCACUGAAGGAGCCAAGGGAGCCAGACUGAGUGCUUUGCUUUCCUUUCACUCCUCUCCAUCACACCUUGUUAGAGGGUUUACCUGCUGGGAUGGUGAUUAAGUUGCUUCUGUGAGUGGUCCAAAUGGACUCGCUCCAGGUUGUGGUUCUGCUACCUAAAUCAGCAGUGCGUGUGUGCUUACAGUACUGCACCUUCUGUUGUUCAAUGCUGACCUCCUCACAUCUCCCAUUAGGAUUUCAGGGCUCUGUACAUUCCUGCUUGAUUAUUUUCCAGCUAAACCGCUGUGAUAUUUAAUGAUAAGUUUAUAAUAUUAAAUGAUAAUAAAGUUUAUCAUCAACACAGUUUAUUACAGUCGUUGAUACAGAAGAAGUUACUGUAUUUUGAUAAUUUGUAGGCAUAUUUCUAAGUAAUUGUAGCUGUGAGCCAAGGAAGAAGGGAUUCAGGAAUAGAACACACACACACAAGCCUCAGAAGCAGCAGAAGAAAUGAAUUUGAAGAGCAUAAGCAAAGUUUUGUCUUGGGAGCUAGCACUGUUUUUCAGAAUGUAUGCAAGCAGUUAUUCUAAAGUGUGUGUGCUCCUGACAACAGGGAGAUUAAGGCAGUUAUUCUUGUGACUGCUGCCAGGGCCAGUACAGUGCCAAGACAUUGUUUUCUACACAGUUUUGUUGCCUAAUGCAAUGAUGAUGGCUGUAACAUCUCCUAACUGAAGAGAAAUUAUGUGGUUUUUAAAGAACAUUUUUUCCUUAGGGCUUGGAAGACACAGUGUGGAAAUAGACCUCAGCAUUAAUAAACUCCAUGGCUGCUGGUUUUCAUUAUAUAUUAUAUUAUAUAUUAUAUUAUAUUAUAUUAUAUUAUAUUAUAUUAUAUUAUAUUAUAUUAUUAUAUCAUAUCAUAUCAUAUCAUAUUGGAAAGGUGGCAGAGAGAAAAUAAAGACGGAUUGAUUGUGGCAAUGGGUGUUAGUAGGAGUUUUGAAGCUCCUGUUGCAAUAUGUUUGGUCUCUGACUGUCUGGUUGGGACGGCAGUUUGAAGAUGUUUAAGUUGCCUAGCCAUGGCAGUUGGAAUAAUUUAUGCCCUGAGUCUGGAAAGUUCCCUGUCAGUCAAGUUUAAUUUCUUGGUAUUGGUUUGUCUUUUCCGCUUUCAGCUCAUGACCCUUCCCAACAGCCCCACCCCCGAUUUCCUGCGCUCUCCUAAUAAAAGCAGUUUUCUCUGACCCCCUGCUCUCUGCCACUGCC